CUGGGCGGAAGCCUGAUCCAGCCAUGCCGCGUGUGUGAAGAAGGCCUUUUGGUUGUAAAGCACUUUAAGCGAGGAGGAGGCUACUCUAGUUCAUACCUAGAGAUAGUGGACGUUACUCGCAGAAUAAGCACCGGCUAACUCUGUGCCAGCAGCCGCNGUAAUACAGAGGGUGCGAGCGUUAAUCGGAUUUACUGGGCGUAAAGCGUGCGUAGGCGGCUGAUUAAGUCGGAUAUGAAAUCCCUGAGCUUAACUUAAGAAUUGCAUUCGAUACUGUUCACCUAGAGUAUGGGAGAGGAUGGUAGAAUUCCAGGUGUAGCGGUGAAAUGCGUAGAGAUCUGGAGGAAUACCGAUGGCGAAGGCAGCCAUCUGGCCUAAUACUGACGCUGAGGUACGAAAGCAUGGGGAGCAAACAGGAUUAGAUACCCUGGUAGUCCAUGCCGUAAACGAUGUCUACUAGCCGUUGGGGCCUUUGAGGCUUUAGUGGCGCAGCUAACGCGAUAAGUAGACCGCCUGGGGAGUACGGUCGCAAGACUAAAACUCAAAUGAAUUGACGGGGGCCCGCACAAGCGGUGGAGCAUGUGGUUUAAUUCGAUGCAACGCGAAGAACCUUACCUGGUCUUGACAUAGUAAGAACUUUCCAGAGAUGGAUUGGUGCCUUCGGGAACUUACAUACAGGUGCUGCAUGGCUGUCGUCAGCUCGUGUCGUGAGAUGUUGGGUUAAGUCCCGCAACGAGCGCAACCCUUUUCCUUAUUUGCCAGCGGGUUAAGCCGGGAACUUUAAGGUACUGCCAGUGACAAACUGGAGGAAGGCGGGGACGACGUCAAGUCAUCAUGGCCCUUACACCAGGGCUACACACGUGCUACAAUGGUCGGUACAA
rnacentral:rRNA from 1 species